rnacentral:rRNA from 1 species
GACGAACGCUGGCGGCGUGCCUAAUACAUGCAAGUCGAGCGAAUUUCUCUGGAGCUUGCUCCAGRGAARUUAGCGGCGGACGGGUGAGUAACACGUGGGCAAUCUGCCCGUAAGACUGGGAUAACUCCGGGAAACCGGGGCUAAUACCGGAUAAUCCCGACUCUCUCCUGAGAGUCGGUUGAAAGAUGGUUUCGGCUAUCACUUACGGAUGAGCCCGCGGCGCAUUAGCUAGUUGGUGAGGUAACGGCUCACCAAGGCGACGAUGCGUAGCCGACCUGAGAGGGUGAUCGGCCACACUGGGACUGAGACACGGCCCAGACUCCUACGGGAGGCAGCAGUAGGGAAUCUUCCGCAAUGGACGAAAGUCUGACGGAGCAACGCCGCGUGAGUGAAGAAGGUUUUCGGAUCGUAAAACUCUGUUGUUAGGGAAGAACACGUACGAGAGUAACUGCUCGUAC